AUUGAACGCUGGCGGCAGGCCUAACACAUGCAAGUCGAGCGGAUGAAGGGAGCUUGCUCCUGGAUUCAGCGGCGGACGGGUGAGUAAUGCCUAGGAAUCUGCCUGGUAGUGGGGGAUAACGUCCGGAAACGGGCGCUAAUACCGCAUACGUCCUGAGGGAGAAAGUGGGGGAUCUUCGGACCUCACGCUAUCAGAUGAGCCUAGGUCGGAUUAGCUAGUUGGUGGGGUAAAGGCCUACCAAGGCGACGAUCCGUAACUGGUCUGAGAGGAUGAUGAGUCACACUGGAACUGAGACACGGUCCAGACUCCUACGGGGGGCAGCAGUGGGGAAUAUUGGACAAUGGGCGAAAGCCUGAUCCAGCCAUGCCGCGUGUGUGAAGAAGGUCUUCGGAUUGUAAAGCACUUUAAGUUGGGAGGAAGGGCAGUAAGUUAAUACCUUGCUGUUUUGACGUUACCAACAGAAUAAGCACCGGCUAACUUCGUG
rnacentral:rRNA from 1 species